ACUAUAAAAUGAGCAAUUAAAAAUACUUAUGAGAUGUCAAAAAUCUUUUAAAAAAAUCUUUUAACAAGUUUUUAUAAUUAUUAAUUAAUUUAGUUUAGUGAUAAUGAUAAAUCGCUGUGGAUGAACGACAAGUCGUGCAAUGACUUAGAUUCCAAGCAAAAUGGUCUUGAUUGGAAAGACCAAAACUCCGAAGGGUGCACCGCCGUUCUUUUAGCAGUACAGUGGUCAGGGACUCCAGCUUCAAAGAGAGAACUAGUUGGCAGGACUAAUUAUUAGAUACAUUGGGUAUUGAAAGAAAAAUAGUGCUUUCUCUCUUAAAAAAAAAUGAUUGUGAAAGAUAGUGUAGCCGAAAGACAAUGGAUGAAGCGAAGGAAGUGGUAAAGCACAUCUUGCAAGCCAAGUUCAAAGGAGGAAUCCCAUCUGACCAAAUUGAGAAAAUCAUAAAGGGAUAUGCCAAUUUCGCCAAUCUAUCUCAUCGAACCCAUGAAGGCUUUCCAUUGAUGUGAGCAUUCAGAACCUGCAUCUAGGUUUCACUCACGUCUUUGAAUCUGCCUUCGAAAGUACAGAAGGAGUUGCAGAGUAUAUAUCUCAUCCCGCACAUGUUGAAUUUUCCAAUUUGUUCUUAGCUGCUGUGGAGAAAUUUAUUGUCGUUGACUACGAGUCCUCUACUGUUCGCCUCUAAACUGUGAGGGUAAUAGACUUCAUAUUUCAUCUUGCUAGUUUUGCCUCCAAAUGGAAAAUAAUGAGGAUUGCAUCUCAGUUUAUGUUCAGUAUUAUUGUUGCUGAACUCCCAGCAAUUUUACUGCAUGUUAGUGUUUCUUUUAUGUUCAGUUAAAUAGGAUUGCUGGAAACAUGUUCAGCUAAGCAAUUCUUUUAUCUUUCAUCAUCUCAGCUUCUUAAUGUGUUCUUUUUGUGGUUUGCAAUCCAAGAUUGGUGGAGUAUUUACGCUAUGGAAUCCAUUUCAUGUGUGUUUUUAUUUGUUUUAGAAAGUUGUAAAACACAUUAAUUGAAGUUUAGUCUGGACUAAUUCUAAGUUUUCCAUUAUUUUUGUUUGA